rnacentral:rRNA from 1 species
AUGUUUAGCUGUUUGAUCGAAUCAUGGUGGGUAUGCACUUUUGUGUAUACGAAUCGAUUGAACUUGAGCUUCGAGCUCGCGGCUUUACUGUUUACUAGGCUUUCUUUUUCCAUCAUACCUUUCUACCUUAAGGUUUGGUGGGAAUACAUAACAAACCUAUUUCACCCUAACUAUCAACAUUUGACUAAUACUAUUCACUUGGAGAAAUCCAAGCCUGAAUUGAGUUAUCUUAACUAAGCACAACUCUUAGCAAUGGAUAUCUUGGUUCUCGCAACGAUGAAGAACGCAGCGAAAUGCGAUAUGUAAUGCGAAUUGCAGAAUUCAGUGAAUCAUCAAAUCUUUGAACGCAAAUGGCGCUCUCGGGAUAGUCCUGGGAGCACACCUCUCUGAGUAUCGGUUCAAACUCAACUCUUCAGCGUGCUUGCAUGCAACGAAGGAUAAUGAGAGUCUUAGCUUGAUCUAAAGCUAAGUCUCUUUAAAUAUGUUGAGCUUUAGAUCUCCUAGUAACUCAGUCGAUUCCUCGAUUGAUAGCCUC